AGUCGUCUUAACAUCGUCAUGUAAAUACGUGUCAUCAAAGAUUACUCAAAAAUUGCUCAUUAUAUCUCAAUCAUAUUUAAAACAGACGACAUGACAAGUAUUAGCUUUUGAUUUAUACAAAAAAGAUCAAAAUCAGUGCACCCAGUAAAAAGAUAUAACGUAUAAUACAACGUAAGGUGACGAAAAUAAUGUCAAGUAAAUACGCGUUAUCAAAGAUUAAUCAAAAAGUAGUUAUCAGAUCUCGAUAAAAUUUAUAUGUGACCACAUGAUAAACAUCAGCUUUCGAUUAAAGUAAAAAUUAUCAAAAUCGAUACACCCAAUAAAAAGUUAUUGCGGAUUUUCAAGAGUUUCUCUCGAUUUCUCUGGGAUCCCAUCAUCAGAUCCUGGUUUCCUUAUCAUGGUACCAAACUAGGGAUAUCCCCUUUCCAACAAAAAAAGAAUUAUCAAAAUCGGUACACCCAGUAGAAAGUUAUGUGGUAUAAUACAACGUAGGUCGACGAAAAAAGCGUCAAGUAAAAACGCAUUAUUAGAUAUAAUUCGAAAAGUAGUUGUUAGAUCUCAAAUAAAUUUAAAUGGGACCAAUCGGCACACACCACCUUUCGAUUAAAACAAAAUUUGUCGAAAUCGGUCUACCUGGUCAAAAGUUCUGAUGUAACAUACAU
rnacentral:misc_RNA from 1 species